UCAAAACACGAAAGCGAGUGCUACAUUUAAAAACAAAACAUUGAAGCAGUGGUUGAAUGGUUACAACAGCAAAAGCUGUUGCGGCACAAAUUUCAUGCACCAAACCCGUCCUGGAGAACAUGCAGCUGGAACACCAGUGAAACGAUGAAUUACGAUAUAUUACGGCUAAACUGAGGAGGAUAAAUAGAAUGCUGUUGCUGCCGCACUUUCUCCCUCAUUAUAACGUAUGAAAAUCCCGGCCGGUGAUGUUAACGAAUUGAAUGAGAAGGAUGCUUCGAAUGAUGAUGGUAUUACCAGAGUUGAAUGAUCAGUUUAUCGUCUUAUCGUCUUAUGCGUAUAAUAAAAUGAUUAUAAAGAACGCUUUU